rnacentral:rRNA from 1 species
UUCGCAAUGCCCGAAAGGGUGACGAAGCGACGCCGCGUGCAGGAAGAAGGCCUUCGGGUUGUAAACCGCUGUCGGGAGUUAAGAAGUGCAAGGGUGUUAAUAGCAUCUUUGCUUGACUAAGGCUCCGGAGGAAGCCACGGCUAACUCUGUGCCGGCAGCCGCGGUAAUACAGAGGCGGCAAGCGUUGUUCGGAAUUAUUGGGCGUAAAGAGCACGUAGGCGGCUAUGCAAGUCGGUUGUGAAAGCCUUCCGCUCAACGGAAGAACGGCAUCCGAUACUGCAUGGCUCGAGUGCGGGAGGGGAGAGUGGAACUUCUGGUGGAGCGGUGAAAUGCGUAGAUAUCAGAAGGAACACCGGCGGCGAAAGCGACUCCCUAGCCCGUAACUGACGCUGAGUGUGCGAAAGCUAGGGGAGCAAACGGGAUUAGAUACCCCGGUAGUCCUAGCCGUAAACGAUGGGCACUAAGUAGAGGGGUUUU